rnacentral:rRNA from 1 species
AGCAGCCGCGGUAAUUCCAGCUCCAAUAGCGUAUAUUAAAGUUGUUGCAGUUAAAAAGCUCGUAGUUGAAUUUCGGGAUCAGUACGCUGGUCGUGCCUUUGGUAUGUACUGGUGUCAUUGAUUCCUCCCUUCUGAAGAACCGUUAUGUCAUUUAUUUGGUGUGGCGGGGAAUCAGGACUGUUACUUUGAAAAAUUAGAGUGUUUAAAGCAGGCUCACGCUUGAAUACAUUAGCAUGGAAUAACGAAAUAGGACGUUUGAUUCUAUUUUGUUGGUUUCUAGGAUCGACGUAAUGAUUAAUAGGGAUAGUUGGGGGCAUUAGUAUUCAAUUGUCAGAGGUGAAAUUCUUGGAUUUAUUGAAGACUAACUACUGCGAAAGCAUUUGCCAAGGAUGUUUUCAUUAAUCAAGAACGAAAGUUAGGGGAUCGAAGACGAUCAGAUACCGUCGUAGU